ACUUUGUGAACGAGUUCAGUGCGAGCGUGAGCGAGUGAGCGAAAGUCAGUGCGGCGCUGAGUGCCCGGGAGAAGGGUCCCCGGGGAGGGCCAGGGAGAGCGCGCGGCGGACCCGCCCGGGACGCGCGGCGGCCCCGGAGAUCCGGGCCCAGCGGUUCAGUUUCAAAUUGGAAUCUUCUGUAGUACUGACUGUAACCUAAUUUCCAAGAUUUUUAUGUCAGAGGUAGAUCAAAAGGACUAUACUUUCAGGUUUUGAGAGAAUACCUCAAGUUGGACUCAAAGGCAAGAACUUUGAAGUGGAAAAGGGUUAUACAUUAUUUCUGUGGAUGCUAAUUGUCUAUGUUUCUGUAGCCAUGGCACAAGACUAUAGGCCCUGACCGGGUAGCUCAGUUGGUUAGACUAUUGUCCGUCCGUAUGUGCCAAGGUUUCGGGUUUGCUCUCCAUGGGGAACAUGCAAGAAACAACUAAUGAAUGCAUAAAGAAGUGGGACAACAAGUUGCUGUUUCUUCCUCCCUCCCUCUGUAAAAAAAAAAAAUAAAAAAAAAAAAUCAAUUUUUUGUUUCUUGUGGAAUGACGUCUUCUUACUUAUUUUCUGCAUAAAGGGAUUCGUAGACUUGGCUUGUUUUUAUACCUCAAAAUGAAACGGUGCCUUUGUGGGGGAUGGCCCACUGGGCUGAGGGGACGUGCAGACAGUGACUCAGAUCUGUAAUUAGGUCCUGCUCUCCAAACCCUUGUUGACUUGAAAGUGCUGGCCAUAGACCAUUUAGUCUGGGAAAGCUAUCCAUGAAUCAUCUAAAUUGGCACAAAUUAUCUGGAAUGCUAUUAAACGCUUUCUCCUCUCUAUUCUCAUUGAGGGAAUUAGAAAGGGAGACUUGUUCUUUGAGUUUCAAAGUAUCCUGGAGGGUGAAGAUACACCCGUGAAAGCACAUGCCUUCCCUAGAUAGAGUGCAAAGCAGAAUAUCUGAUGUUGGUAAAGCAGUUCCGAUUUUGUGGGUCUGUAUUACAACAUUCCUCCACGCUUUAUAUCCUUUCCUUUGUGAAGAAG